UACGGGGGGGGCAAGCGUUGUUCGGAAUUACUGGGCGUAAAGGGUUCGUAGGUGGCUCGCUAAGCCAGACGUGAAAUCCCUCAGCUUAACUGGGGAACUGCGUCUGAUACUGGAUGGCUUGGAUUCGGGAGAGGAAUGCGGAAUUCCAGGUGUAGCGGUGAAAUGCGUAGAUAUCUGGAGGAACACCGGUGGCGAAGGCGGCACUCUGGACCGAUAUUGACGCUGAGGAGCGAAAGCCAGGGGAGCAAACGGG
rnacentral:rRNA from 1 species